UGGAAGCAAGUUCUGUCCUGUUAUC
rnacentral:piRNA from 1 species